rnacentral:rRNA from 1 species
GAUGAACGCUAGCUACAGGCUUAACACAUGCAAGUCGAGGGGAAACGAUAGAGAAAGCUUGCUUUUUCUAGGCGUCGACCGGCGCACGGGUGAGUAACGCGUAUCCAACCUGCCCACCACUUGGGAAUAACCUUGCGAAAGUAAGACUAAUACCCAAUGAUAUCUCUAGAAGACAUCUGAAGGAGAUUAAAGAUUUAUCGGUUAUGGAUGGGGAUGCGUCUGAGUAGCUUGUUGGCGGGGUAACGGGCCACCAAGGCGACGAUCAGUAGGGGUUCUGAGAGGAAGGUCCCCCACAUUGGAACUGAGACACGGUCCAAACUCCUACGGGAGGCAGCAGUGAGGAAUAUUGGUCAAUGGGCGAGAGCCUGAACCAGCCAAGUAGCGUGCAGGAUGACGGCCCUAUGGGUUGUAAACUGCUUUUAUAAGGGAAUAAAGUGAGCCUCGUGAGGCUUUUUGCAUGUACCUUAUGAAUAAGGACCGGCUAAUUCCGUGCCAGCAGCCGCCGUAA